UACAGGUGGUGCAUGGCUGUCGUCAGCUCGUGUCGUGAGAUGUUGGGUUAAGUCCCGCAACGAGCGCAACCCUUGUUCUGUGUUGCCAGCACGUCCUUUCGGGGAUGGUGGGGACUCACAGGAGACUGCCGGGGUCAACUCGGAGGAAGGUGGGGACGACGUCAAGUCAUCAUGCCCCUUAUGUCUUGGGCUGCACACGUGCUACAAUGGCCGGUACAAUGAGCUGCGAUACCGUGAGGUGGAGCGAAUCUCAAAAAGCCGGUCUCAGUUCGGAUUGGGGUCUGCAACUCGACCCCAUGAAGUCGGAGUUGCUAGUAAUCGCAGAUCAGCAUUGCUGCGGUGAAUACGUUCCCGGGUCUUGUACACACC
rnacentral:rRNA from 1 species